rnacentral:rRNA from 1 species
AUGGCCCACACUGGCUCUUACAAGAAAGUCAAGGCAUUCUCUGCGUCUGACCUCGAUGAUCCAAAGAACUUCACCAACAUCUCCGCUCACGACAAGCUCGUGCAAUAUAGAGAUCAGGGGAAGGCAAGGAAAGGGGAGGACUUUAACCCGAGCCAGGGUCCCAUUGAUACAGAGUUGUUGAUGAUAUCUGGUGGCGGGAGGUCCCAUGGCUCCAUAGCCAUGCGAGAUGGACUUAUCCGUUAUCCUAGCACUCUCCCGGAGAUCAAGGCGCGCCAGUCGAGCUCUGCUCCUGAGAUAAGGCCUCGUGAACGGCCAGUCCAACUCGCCAUCAAGGCUGCUAUACAGAGUGAGAGAGAUAGAACAGAGAAACUUCUGGCGAUGGCGGCGGAGAGGCAGCGGGAGUUGGAGGAGAGGACGACAAAGAUGUUGGAGGAGGAGAGGGCACGGAAUGACAUGCAGGCAAGGGCCAUGUAUGAGCUCCUUGUGUCUGUGUGCGAGAAGUCCGGUCAGACCGCUCCGUCGAUGCCAGUGAUUGCUCCUGGGAGCACGCUUAACUCCAGAAACGCAUCGCACGAUCCUUCUCCAGCUACUGGCACGAGCCAGCCCGCUCCUACACCUCCCUGA